CAAAUUUUAGUAUUAUUUUUUCUAUUUCUGUGAAAAUUGUCAUUGGAAUAUUGAUAGGGAUUAUGUUGAACCUGUAGAUCACUUUGUAAUAUGGACAUUUAACAACAUUAGUUCUCCUAAUCCAUGAACACAAGAUAUCUUUCUGUGUCUUCGAUUUAUUUCAUAAUGUUUUAUAGCUUUCAGUGUACAGAUCUUUCACCUCUUUGAUUAAAUUUCUUCCUAUGUUUUGGUAGCUACUGUAAAUUGGUUUUCUGGAUUUUCUUCAGAUAGCUCAUUGUUAGUAUACAGAAAUGCUAUAAUUUUUUAUAUGUUGAUUCUGUAUCCUGCAAAAUAACUUAAUUUAUUUUUUAGUGCAAAUUUUGUUUUGGUGGAGUCUUUAAGGUUUUCUAUAUGUGAGACUGUUGUGAUAUAGAAAAACCCGAGUGUUUUUCCUACUCUCUACUUUCACACAGUCACUCAACACCUCUGACGUCAGAUGUGUGGAUAUUUGUUUUCCUCUACAUACCAAGCAAUUUUCUGGCAGAUUCUGUGGCAGACACCAGCUCUAAUUCAGUUUAAUUCUGAUACUGUCCCACAGGAGAUAGUAUCAGAUCCCACACGUUAAGGGUUUGAUCCUACAAGACUGCUCCAACUUCAGAUGCCGACUGCAGACCCCAGGCUGUGGCCUGAUCAGCUGACUAUAAAUUGGAGUUCCAAUGACUCCCACCUUGAAUUCUAUUAAUUUGCUGGAGCAGCUCACAGAACUUGGGGAAACACUAUAUUUACCUCCACUCAUUUACUAUACAGAAAGGAUACAAAGAGCCAGAUGGAAGAGAUGCAUAAGACGCUGAACCCCACCAAGAAGAACAUUAGACUAUACUAUGCCCACAUUAAUUACUUUCCCCCUCAUCACCUUAGAAAAUCCUUUCAUUUUUCAGUAUUGUGUGGACACCUGUGAGCUGGUUGUUUUGAAAAAGGAAAAAUCCAACCAAUUAAAAUGGACUGCUCUAUUAAAGAACAUAACAUGAUCAUGGCA